CAUAUCAAUAAGCGGAGGAAAAGAAACCAACAGGGAUUGCCCCAGUAGCGGCGAGUGAAGCGGCAAAAGCUCAGAUUUGGAAUCGCUUCGGCGAGUUGUGAAUUGCAGGUUGGCGCCUCUGCGGCGGCGGCGGUCCAAGUCCCUUGGAACAGGGCGCCAUUGAGGGUGAGAGCCCCGUGGGACCGUUUGCCUACGCUCUGAGGCCCUUCUGACGAGUCGAGUUGUUUGGGAAUGCAGCUCUAAGCGGGUGGUAAAUUCCAUCUAAGGCUAAAUACUGGCGAGAGACCGAUAGCGAACAAGUACUGUGAAGGAAAGAUGAAAAGCACUUUGAAAAGAGAGUGAAACAGCACGUGAAAUUGUUGAAAGGGAAGGGUAUUGCGCCCGACAUGGAGCGUGCGCACCGCUGCCCCUCGUGGGCGGCGCUCUGGGCGUGCUCUGGGCCAGCAUCGGUUUUUGCCGCGGGAGAAGGGCGGCGGGCAUGUAGCUCUUCGGAGUGUUAUAGCCUGCCGCCGGCGCCGCGAGCGGGGACCGAGGACUGCGACUUUUGUCUCGGAUGCUGGCACAACGGCGCAACACCGCCCGUCUUGAAACACGGACCAC
rnacentral:rRNA from 1 species